rnacentral:rRNA from 1 species
UACGUAGGGGGCGAGCGUUGUCCGGAAUAAUUGGGCGUAAAGGGCGCGUAGGCGGCCAGACAAGUCAGUAGUGGAAGUCCCAUUUUCAAGGUGGGGAGGGCUAUUGAAACUGUAGGGCUUGAGUGCAGGAGAGGUUAUCGGAAUUCCCGGUGUAGCGGUGAAAUGCGUAGAGAUCGGGAGGAACAUCAGUGGCGAAGGCGGGUAACUGGACUGCAACUGACGCUGAGGCGCGAAAGUGUGGGGAGCAAAC